rnacentral:rRNA from 1 species
GACGAACGCUGGCGGCGUGCUUAACACAUGCAAGUCGAACGGAAAGGCCCUGCUUUUGUGGGGUGCUCGAGUGGCGAACGGGUGAGUAACACGUGAGUAACCUGCCCUUGACUUUGGGAUAACUUCAGGAAACUGGGGCUAAUACAGGAUAGGAGCUCCUGCUGCAUGGUGGGGGUUGGAAAGUUUCGGCGGUUGGGGAUGGACUAGCGGCUUAUCAGCUUGUUGGUGGGGUAGUGGCUUACCAAGGCUUUGACGGGUAGCCGGCCUGAGAGGGUGACCGGCCACAUUGGGACUGCGAUACGGCCCAGACUCGUACGGGAGGCAGCAGUGGGGAAUAUUGCACAAUGGGCGGAAGCCUGAUGCAGCAACGCCGCGUGCGGGAUGACGGCCUUCGGGUUGUAAACCGCUUUCGCCUGUGACGAAGCGUGAGUGACGGUAAUGGGUAAAGAAGCACCGGCUAACUACGUG